GCUCACUUCGGUUUGUCCUAGACCUCUAUAAGGAUGAAACUUUUGCGGAAAAAGUAGAAAACUUCCCCUUUGAAUUGUAUCUAAAUGAAGACAUUUACAUGCAGGUAACACUAGAUUCGCUGGACCCAGAUCUUUCUCUAGGGGUGUUGAACGUGCAAGCCAGAAACAGUGAAUCCGAGGAAGAGGGAAAUUUGUCGUACGACCUAGUCAAAGAAGGUUGUAUUAAGGACUCGACCUUCGACUUCAUCGACACUGAUUCCAACUCUCAACCUCUCUCCGACCCCAAAGUGAAAAGAUUUACUUUUAAAUCUCUUAGCUUUUUGGAUUCCCACACUGCAA